rnacentral:snRNA from 1 species
UCUCUCAAUUCGGCAGCACAUAUACUAAAAUUACAAUGAUACAGAUAAGAUUAGCAUGGCCCCUGUACAAGGAUGACAUGCAAAUUUAUGAAGCAUUCCAUAUUUUU